GAUGAACGCUGGCGGCGUGCCUAAUACAUGCAAGUCGAGCGAGCAGACGAGGAGCUUGCUCCUCUGACGUUAGCGGCGGACGGGUGAGUAACACGUGGAUAACCUACCUAUAAGACUGGGAUAACUUCGGGAAACCGGAGCUAAUACCGGAUAAUAUAUUGAACCGCAUGGUUCAAUAGUGAAAGACGGUUUUGCUGUCACUUAUAGAUGGAUCCGCGCCGCAUUAGCUAGUUGGUAAGGUAACGGCUUACCAAGGCAACGAUGCGUAGCCGACCUGAGAGGGUGAUCGGCCACACUGGAACUGAGACACGGUCCAGACUCCUAAGGGAGGCAGCAGUAGGGAAUCUUCCGCAAUGGGCGAAAGCCUGACGGAGCAACGCCGCGUGAGUGAUGAAGGUCUUCGGAUCGUAAAACUCUGUUAUUAGGGAAGAACAAAUGUGUAAGUAACUAUGCACGUCUUGACGGUACCUAAUCAGAAAGCCACGGCUAACUACGUG
rnacentral:rRNA from 1 species